rnacentral:misc_RNA from 1 species
GAUGAAGAACGUAGCGAAAUGCGAUAAGUAAUGUGAAUUGCAGAAUUCAGUGAAUCAUCGAAUCUUUGAACGCACAUUGCGCCCGCCAGUAUUCUGGCGGGCAUGCCUGUUCGAGCGUCAUUUCAACCCUCAAGCCCCCGGGCUUGGUGUUGGGGAUCGGCGUGCCCUCGCGGCGCGCCGUCCCCUAAAUCUAGUGGCGGUCUCGCUGUAGCUUCCUCUGCGUAGUAGCAACACUCGCACUGGAUCGCAGCGCGGCCACGCCGUUAAACCCCCCACUUCUGAAAGUUUGACCUCGGAUCAGGUAGGAAUACCCGCUGAACUUUAGCAUAUCAAUAAGCGGAGGA